UCAGGAUAAUAAAUUUAAAUGCUGUAUUAAAUUAGGGAACAUUUUUCAUUUCAGAUGCUAUGACAUCAUGCCAUUUGACAAAAAUGUAAUUAAGUGGAAUUAAUCUAAGUUGAUAUCUGCAAGUGCAGCUUCCUGCCAAAUGUCAAUAGUCAUCUGUUCCACUUGCUGUGUCAUCAGCAUAAUGGGUCACCUCCGGUUAUACCUUCAUAACAGUGACAGCAGGGGUAAGUUCCAGUCCAGUUUUAUGACUUUUGGGGGGCCGGAAACUAUAUUAGUCACAGUCAUGAAUAGCCUCCUGUUGGCUUUGGACUCAGUCAGUUUGCCUUUUUGGUUAUACUAGAUCUGUGAUCACCUAUGUAAUUAACCAUAGUUUGUUGCUUUGGUGUUUAAAAGGUGUUGGUCCUAUACAGCUAUGGUUCUCAGCCAGGGGUAUGCAUACUUCUGGGGGUAUGCAGAGGUCUUCCGGGGUACAUCAACUCGUCUAGAUAUUUGCCUAGUUUUACAACAGGCUACAUAAAAAGCACUAGUGAAGUCAGUAUAAACUAAAAUUUCAUACAGACAAUGACUUCUUUAUACUGCUCUAUAUACUGAACACUGAAAUGUAAGUACAAUAUUUAUAUUUCAACUGAUUUAUUUCAUAAUUUUAUGGUAAAAGUGAGAAAGUAAGCAAUUUUUCAGUAAUAGUAUGCUUUGAUACUUUUGUAUUUUUAUGUCUGAUUUUGUAAGCAAGUAGUUUUUAAGUGAGGUGAAACUUGGGGGUACGCAGGACAAAUCAGACUCAUAAUUUGUGUGGACGGUUCCUUUAUUUAAUCUGUGAAGAUUCUACAACUGAACCUCAUCCCCUCAUGACCAAGAACUAGGGCUGUCAAGUGAUUAAAAAAUUAAUCACAAUUAAUUGCAC
rnacentral:lncRNA from 1 species